GCAGUCGAGCGAUUUACUUCGGUAAAGAGCGGCGGACGGGUGAGUAACCCUUGGGUAACCUGCCCUAUACACACGGAUAACAUACCGAAAGGUAUGCUAAUACGAGAUAAUAUAAGAAAUUCGCAUGGAUUUCUUAUCAAAGCUUUUGCGGUAUAGGAUGGACCCGCGUCUGAUUAGCUAGUUGGUAAGGUAACGGCUUACCAAGGCGACGAUCAGUAGCCGACCUGAGAGGGUGAUCGGCCACAUUGGAACUGAGACACGGUCCAAACUCCUACGGGAGGCAGCAGUGGGGAAUAUUGCACAAUGGGCGAAAGCCUGAUGCAGCAACGCCGCGUGAGCGAUGAAGGCCUUCGGGUCGUAAAGCUCUGUCCUCAAGGAAGAUAAUGACGGUACUUGAGGAGGAAGCCCCGGCUAACUACGUGCCAGCAGCCGCGGUAAUACGUAGGGGGCUAGCGUUAUCCGGAAUUACUGGGCGUAAAGGGUGCGUAGGUGGUUUCUUAAGUCAGAGGUGAGAGGCUACGGCUCAACCGUAGUAAGCCUUUGAAACUGAGAAACUUGAGUGCAGGAGAGGAGAGUAGAAUUCCUAGUGUAGCGGUGAAAUGCGUAGAUAUUAGGAGGAAUACCAGUUGCGAAGGCGGCUCUCUGGACUGUAACUGACACUGAGGCACGAAAGCGUGGGGAGCAAACAGGAUUAGAUACCCUGGUAGUC
rnacentral:rRNA from 1 species